CGACCUCGGAUCAGGCGAGACUACCCGCUAGAUUUAAGCAUAUCAGCAAGCGGAGGAAAAGAAACUAACUAGGAUUCCCUCAGUAGCGGCGAGCGAACAGGGAGGAGCCCAGCACCGAACCCCGUCGGCGGGAGCCGUCGACCGGGGAAUGUGGUGUUCGGGAGGAUCCGAUCAUCCCGCUCGCGGUUCUCCGAGCGUCGGCCUUCGGGUCGGCGCCCGGGGCCCGUGCACGGUCCAAAUGCAGCGAGUGGGCCUAAAAAACCCCGUCCUGGAACGGCUUCCCCCGUUAUCGGAUUCCGUAGAGGGUGAAAGACCCGUGGAGGCCGGCACGGAGCGGCGGGAGGAUCUCUCCUAAGAGUCGGGUCGCUUGGUAGUGCAGCCCUAAGAGGUGGUAAACUCCAUCUAAGGCUAAACAUCGCCGCGAGACCGAUAGAGGACAAGUACCGUUCGGGAAAGUUGAAAAGGACUCUGCAGAGAGAGUUAAAGAGUACGUGAAACCGUUCGGGGGUUCGGCACAGAACAAACGGUCGGGGCUCGGGCGAGACCCUCCGGGCAGGAGGAUCCGUCAGCCGUCCCGAGGCCCGCGGGCCGUCUGCGCGCUUGCUUGCGUUACAGCUUGCGAGGGGUUGCCCUGGGCCUAACCAUGAGCGUUGACGAUGCGGCCCGCGGAGCGCGGGGCGGCGGCCAUGAACGGAGCCCUCGCGGCCACCUCGAUCCCCGCCCGCGGAGGCACCCGCGACUCGCGGUGCGGCGGUCCGCCCGUGGAGGCCCCCCUCGGGGGUCACCUCCGCGGGAGCCGGUCUUCGCCAGGCACCGCGGUCGAGAAUCGGCCGGGCGGCGCCUUCGGGCGCUCGUGCCCGGUCGGCGGGAGAUCUACCGGGACCCCUACCGACCCGUCUUGAAACACGGACCAAGGAGUCUAGCGUGCGCGCGAGUCAUCGGGAACACGUACUAAACCCCGAGGCGCAAUGAAAGUGAGCGCUCAGCGCAAGGGACGAAACAACGGGGCCGGGGGAAACGGGGGCAACUCCGCGCGUACCCCGGCGGUGUCCGUCCUAGCUGCGGCCCGUUGCAGCAAUCCCGGGGCGCCGAGCAGAUACCCGCCACCCAGGGCGGCGAGCGAGGCGCUCUCGAAGCGUGCACGGUAGGACCCGAAAGAUGGUGAACUAUGCCCGGCCAGGACGAAACCAGGGGAAACCCUGGCGGAGGUCCGCAGCGGUUCUGACGUGCAAAUCG
rnacentral:ncRNA from 1 species